CUAACAUUUACUGGAUAUGAAUGUCCAUCGAUACACCUGCGACAUUCAGGUAAUGGAUGAGAGGAUGGGCAUGAGCAUAAUUUCCAACAUGCACCUCAAAUCCAUCUCCUUUCUCUCUCCUUUCUGUUUCCCUCCCAAUUCAAAACCAAUCAAAACAAAACCUAAUUUCACAUUUUCCAGUACCACAACUAAACCCACAGACCCACCUUCAAAUUACUCCAAAAUUGAGAUAAGGGUGUGUACAAAUAGGACUUGCAGGAGGCAAGGAUCACUGCAAGUUCUUGAAACCCUUUUGGGAAUUUCACCAACCCAUGUCUCUAUCAAUUCCUGCGGUUGUCUCGGCCGCUGCGGCAGCGGUCCUAACCUCGUCGUCUUGCCUCCUGCUGCCAUGAUCAGCCACUGUGGGACAGCGGCUCGUGCGGCCGAGCUUAUUGUUGAUGUAUGUAGUUCUGGAGGAGCUGAUAAUAAUGAUGCUGAUCUUGCUAGGAGGAGUUUGGAUGCUCUUGCUAUUAGGAAGAGGGCUGAAAUUGAGUUUGAGAAGCACAAUUUUUCUGAAGCAGAGACUUUAUUUUCUCAGGCUAUCGAGGCUAAACCAAUCGGUGGAAUUCAUAUUGCGUACAAGGGCAGGUCUGCUGUAAGGUUGGCAACAGACAACUUCAGUGGGGCUCUUGACGAUGUUAGGGAAGCUCUAGUUUAUGCCCCACAUUAUGCUGAGGCUUAUAUUUGCCAAGGUGAUAUUUUUCUAGCAAUGGAUCAACUAGAAGCUGCUUCGGAAUCGUAUGCCAUAGCUCUGGAGAAAGAUCCUUCUCUCCGUCGUUCUAAAGCUUUUAAGGCUCGAGUUCAGAGGCUUCAAGAGAUAACACUUGUGUAGCUAUGUCUUGACUUGCUAAGAUAUUUCUCAAGUGACUAAGGAUGAAGAUCUUACAAUGUUGUUCAGGUCCUCGAUUUUACGGCUAAGCAUGCAGACUCGAUGAUCCUCCCUCAUCUUUAACACAUACAUUGAAUCUAAGGCUAACCUUUUGUUCUCGUCGAUCAGAACACAUACUUUAUACCUUAAACCUGCAUUUUCAUUCAGAAGAAUCAACCUUUCGGAUUCUAGUACCUCCAGUAGACUCCUCUGCAACUCUAUCUUUCUUGAAGAAUCAUUGACUUGUUUCUCCAUUACCAAUAGCUCAUCAACUAUUAGAUCAUACUGCACAUUUUUAAUGACUAACUCUGAUAUCAUCUCAUCAUGAGAAAUAGCUGUAGUUGAUGGUAAUUGGUAUGAAAGUGAGCUUUCAGCAUCAGAUUGGAAAUCUUCUGAUGAAACAGUUGUGGUAUUGUCAGAGGAAGAAUGAGAUUGAUAAUUGUGAUGCUUGUGUAGA